UGGAUAUGGUGCUAUGUUAUUUUCGCUAUUUCAUGCGUAUUCAGGAAGUGGGUUUUUUUUUUUUUAUGUUAACAAAGGAAACUGGAUGUUCUCCUAAAAUAGCCACCUCGCCAAGCUGAACCAACAGAGAUGUAUUGAUCACCGGGUCAAUAGAACUAGAUGGGUGCUGGGGGGAAAGUCAGCAGGUAAGACAGGUGAGGACUGCCUCCCUUCCACUCCCCACCCAGAGGCUGAAGACAGACAGACAGACAGAGGCGUUCAGAAAGAAGUAGGAGGGCUUCAGGGAUUCAGCGGAGGAGACUGAAAGCCUGAGAGACGAUGCCUUUGAGGAGGUUACAGACCUUGGGAGAAAGCGCUUUCACCUCCUCACCACAGACACUCGAGACUGAGGACUCAGGACACUAAGCCAGAAGUGUUUGCAGAAAGGAACCUGAUAAGACUGACUAGCCAUCUCUAGCAUUCAGCAAAGAUAGGUGGAACUUCAUUGUGCUGAAGUUAUGUUUGAGCACCCUCUGCUGGACAAAUCAGGAGAAGGCAGCAGCUGGCAUCAAUGGUGUGGUGAGGAGAGAAUCAAGUUUCCUUCUCCAGUUCAAACAGACGAAAGUGAAGCGACAUAGGCUCAAGGACAGGGUCACUGGGCUAGCGCCACACCAUGGAGCCAAACCCCGAGCCUUCUAAAUUGUGAGCUGGGCAUGGUGGUUCACCCCAGGAAUCGCAGCACUGAGGGAUGAAGGCGAGAGAGUCACUGUGGGUAUGACAUCAGUCUGACCUGAAGUCUGAGACUGUUUUUUUAAGAAGAAAACAUUUUUUUAUGUCAUAUAUUUAAUUAUAUAAAGAUUCUGUUGUUUUGUUGUUGUUGUUGUUGUUAAAAUUCAGCCAGGAAAUUUCCAUCUGUCUGGUGUUAAUUGGUUGUUUUUCAGCACUAAUUGGGAAAUGGUAUAUUUUUAUUGUUUUAUAAAUAGAGUAAAACCCCACAGAAACUGCUGGGGAAAUUUAAACAAGGAAAGCAAUUCUAUGUCCUUGCUUGACACCAGUUUGUCCCAGAGGUGACAUAACUGUGUAGUUUUUGAAAACACUGGGCAUUUAUAUAUAUAUGAGACAAAACCCCACUGUAUAGCCCUG
rnacentral:lncRNA from 1 species